AAGAACCUUCCGUGGAGCCAGAAUUGCCUUUUAAAAAUCCAAAUUUUAAAAGGAGUAAAGAGAAAAAUUUUAAACAAAUACUACUAUUUGAAAAGACUAUUGAAGGGGAACCCGAUAACUUGGACUUUUUAAGAAUAGGGGCCUUGCCUUCUCUUAAACCCAAAAAAAAAUACUGCGAUUUAUCUGGGCUUGUAGCAAUUUACACUGAUCCUAAGACUUUACUCCAUUACUUCAACGCUACUUAUUACCAUAAAAUACAACAACUCUCUGAUGAUCAAGUUAAAAAGUAUUUAGAA